ensembl:lncRNA
CGCAUUUUAAAAAACACCUAGGAAUAAAUCUGAGUGAGGAGGUGAAAGACAUAUGCUAUAAAACAUUGACAAAGGAAACUGAAGAUGAUUCAAAGAAAUGGAAAGAUAUCCCAUGCUCUCAGAUUAGAAAAAUUACUUAUUUAUCGUGUGUGACUUGCCCAUUCAAACAAUGAUUCCCUUCACUAAAGUCUUAGGAGAUGCAUGGGUGUGUGGAGCAUCUAUAUCUUUGAAAUACAUUUUGGUAACUGUUCUCUAUAGACAGGGAUGCUCACUGGAGAUCUUACAGUGGAGAGGGAUUCUCUGAUUUCAGUGGGGAUGGGAGGAUCCUAGGGUGUUAGAGUUCAAGUGUGACUCUUCACCUCCAGAUGCAAGUUGGAGGUUACUGUCUGGUCCGUGCCACACAGAGCGUGGCUGUGCUUGAUUGGUUCUGAGGUCCUUGGGGCUGACGAUGGGAAGCCCACCCCCAUCCUCCUCGACUUGUAGCACAAGGAGAUUCCUGACCUCUCACUCGGUUCCCAGAUCUGAAUCAGUUCAGAGGCCUGGCAUCCCUUGAAAGGGAAAUCUGAAUACACUUGAGUAAAGGAUUCUUCCAAAAUAUUCAACCGUGGGAUGUGAACUUACUCCUAGAUUUCCCCAAAGCACCCUUCAGCCGUUUACCUGGAAACUCUUCACUAGGGAAAGACAAAUACCCAUGUAUCUUCCAGAUUACUGGUGUCUAUUGCCUCUGUGAAACUUCUGGAGGUCUAAUAUUUGAGGGAACAUCAGCAUAUCCCAGGAAUGACGACAUCUUAUACCUCACCCUGUUGAACCACCACAAUCACAGCUAAUAGCUUCCCCUGGAGGAUCCCAUCAAAGCCAAGGACCAGAGGGAGGAAGAACGGCAGCAGAUGCGAGCUGAAGCCUAGAACUUAGCUGUGUUACAAGAAUAAUGAGUCCUGUUCCUAACACACCUUUGCCACGGUCCUCCAUGGCCCCCUGGGUGGUAGCCAUCCGAUGUUUUAGCUGCUAAGAAGAUUAGUCAGUGACAUCGCCAGAGCCUGUCCUUCGGUGGUGGGUAGUCUGUCCUGCUGCAGAACAGGGCUUGGCAAGGAGAGAGGCCUGUCUCUAGGGCCCCAGAAGGGUCAGCUCUUCAGCCAGGCCAACCUGCUGGUUUGGGGCCUCCUGCGGAAAGCUGGAGCUGCAUUUGGGCCUCGUGGGGAGGCUGCAGGUUUCAUGGCCAAAUACCUGCCCUGGUGUCCACCAAGUCUCUGCAGACUCUGCCAAAGCCCUGGACUUGGCCACGGAUGAGGGAAACACCACAGAGGAGGAGAUGGCCAUGGAGACCCAAAGUCCCUCCGCGCUUCUAGAGGGCAUGGUGUGGAGGCCCCAGCAGAAGAAGCUUCUGAGUGCUCAAAUGAGGAGCCUGGAGGAACAAGAGCUUGUGGGGACCCGGGUUUGAUCCCUGGUCUGGGAAGAUUCCACAUGCUGCAGAGCAACCAAGCCCCAGUGUGUCAACUACUGAAGCCCACAUGCCCUGGAGCCCAUCCUCUGCAACAAGAGAAGCCACCGCAAUGAGAAGCCCACAUCCCGAAAUUAGAGAGUAGCCCCCACUUGCCACAACUAGAGAAAGCCCAUGCAACAACAAAGACCCAGCAUAGCCAUAAAUAAAUAAUUUAAAAA